rnacentral:rRNA from 1 species
AUUGAACGCUGGCGGCAGGCCUAACACAUGCAAGUCGAGCGGAUGAAGAGAGCUUGCACUCUGAUUUAGCGGCGGACGGGUGAGUAAUGCCUAGGAAUCUGCCUGGUAGUGGGGGAUAACGUCCGGAAACGGGCGCUAAUACCGCAUACGUCCUACGGGAGAAAGCAGGGGACCUUCGGGCCUUGCGCUAUCAGAUGAGCUUAGGUCGGAUUAGCUAGUUGGUGAGGUAGUGGCUCACCAAGGCUACGGUCCGUAACUGGUCUGAGAGGAUGACGAGUCACACUGGAACGGAGACACGGUCCAGACUCCUACGGGAGGCAGCAGUGGGGAAUAUUGGACAAUGGUCGAAAGCCUGAUCCAGCCAUGCCGCGUGUGUGAAGAAGGUCUUCGGAUUGUAAAGCACUUUAAGUUGGGAGGAAGGGCAGUAAGUUAAUACCUUGCUGUUUUGACGUUACCGACAGAAUAAGCACCGGCUAACUUCGUGCCAGCAGCCGCCGUAAAAC